AGUUAAUUAGCUUAAAAAAAGCAUAUAUUUUGAAAAUAUAAGAUAGAACUUAAUAUUUUAAUAACUU
rnacentral:tRNA from 1 species